UGGGGAAUAUUGGACAAUGGGCGAAAGCCUGAUCCAGCAACGCCGCGUGAGGGAUGACGGCCUUCGGGUUGUAAACCUCUUUCUGUAGGGACGAAGCGCAAGUGACGGUACCUACAGAAGAAGCACCGGCCAACUACGUGCCAGCAGCCGCGGUAAUACGUAGGGUGCGAGCGUUGUCCGGAAUUAUUGGGCGUAAAGGGCUCGUAGGCGGUUUGUCGCGUCGGGAGUGAAAACUCAGGGCUUAACCCUGAGCCUGCUUCCGAUACGGGCAGACUAGAGGUAUGCAGGGGAGAACGGAAUUCCUGGUGUAGCGGUGAAAUGCGCAGAUAUCAGGAGGAACACCGGUGGCGAAGGCGGUUCUCUGGGCAUUACCUGACGCUGAGGAGCGAAAGUGUGGGGAGCGAACAGG
rnacentral:rRNA from 1 species